rnacentral:ncRNA from 2 species
ACCGUAUCUAGUGGUUAUGGUUCCCCGAUUCGGUAGAUUUGGGGCUAAGACGGGAAUUCGGUGCGGCGGGCUUUCUGCUAAAUCCGGAGCUGUCCCCGCAACUGUGAGCGGCGAGUUUUUGCCCUUUCAUGCCACUGAAUGCCCGGAGCGAGGCCGGGAUUCGGGAAGGCCGGGCAAGCAACGGCGACCCGCAAGCCAGGAGACCUGCCAUGACCAGACGUAUGAC